AUCCCAUGAUGAGGACAUUUCUGCAAUAACUCUUUAAAUCUUUCCCGUGUUUCAUACAAGGAUUCCUCAUCUGCCUGUUGGAAUGAGGUAAUGUCGUUUCUGAGCUU
rfam:Morus notabilis contig17535, whole genome shotgun sequence.